UGGACCAACAAUGGUGGCUGGUGGCAUAUGAGUCAUAUAUGAUGAAUAUGUGUCUGUAACUCUGAGGUCCAA